rnacentral:misc_RNA from 1 species
GAAAUGCGAUAAGUAAUGUGAAUUGCAGAAUUCAGUGAAUCAUCGAAUCUUUGAACGCACAUUGCGCCCGGGAGCAUUCUCCCGGGCAUGCCUGUUCGAGCGUCAUUUCAACCCUCGACCUCCCCUUGGGGAGGCCGGCCGUUGGAGAUCGGCAGCGAUUGCCGGCUCCCAAAUUCAGUGGCGACCCGCCGCGGGGACCCCUGCGCAGUAACAUACACUCGCACCGGAGACCAGACGUGUCACGCCGUAAAACCCCAACUUUCUGAACGUUGACCUCGGAUCAGGUAGGAAUACCCGCUGAACUUAAGC